rnacentral:rRNA from 1 species
CUACGGGAGGCAGCAGUGGGGAAUAUUGGACAAUGGGCGCAAGCCUGAUCCAGCAAUGCCGCGUGGAUGAUGAAGGCCUUAGGGUUGUAAAGUCCUUUCGGCGGGGACGAUGAUGACGGUACCCGCAGAAGAAGCCCCGGCUAACUUCGUGCCAGCAGCCGCGGUAAUACGAAGGGGGCUAGCGUUGUUCGGAAUUACUGGGCGUAAAGGGCGCGUAGGCGGCUGCCCAAGUCAGAUGUGAAAGCCCCGGGCUUAACCUGGGAAUUGCAUUUGAUACUGGGCAGCUUGAGUUUCGGAGAGGUGGGUGGAAUUCCCAGUGUAGAGGUGAAAUUCGUAGAUAUUGGGAAGAACACCGGUGGCGAAGGCGGCCCACUGGACGAAUACUGACGCUGAGGCGCGAAAGCGUGGGGAGCAAACAGGAUUAGAUACCCCGGUAGUC